rnacentral:rRNA from 1 species
UACGUAGGGUGCAAGCGUUGUCCGGAAUUAUUGGGCGUAAAGAGCUCGUAGGCGGUCUGUCGCGUCGGCUGUGAAAACCUGAGGCUCAACCUCGGGCCUGCAGUCGAUACGGGCAGACUAGAGUUCGGUAGGGGAGUCUGGAAUUCCUGGUGUAGCGGUGAAAUGCGCAGAUAUCAGGAGGUACACCGGUGGCGAAGGCGGGACUCUGGGCCGAUACUGACGCUGAGGAGCGAAAGCGUGGGGAGCAAACAGG